CCCAAGGCAAGAAAAAUAUAAAAAAUACUUUUUAGAAAAUAAAUAUUAUACAUUUGGGGGUUAACCUUUCUACUUUGUCAAUAAUUCAUUAAUGGUCAAUGUUUAAGCAACAAAAAAACCUUUCACUUCAUUUUAAUAAUAUUCAGCUUUUGAUUUGAAAUAACUCUAUCUUAAAUUUUUUAUUAUUUUAUUUUGUUCUAGAAAAUGAUGUUGCAUUUUAAAAGUCUGAUCCCAGUCUAAUUUGCUUCCCUUAGCUAAUCAUUUUUGUUUGCCUUUAUUUUUACUUUUAUGCUUUCAGAAAAAAAUGAGAACUUUUUUUUAUUUUCUUGAUUUUUGUCCAAAAUGUGCUUUGUUUGUUUUGUUUUGAUCCUUCUCUUAUCCAUGUUUAGCAUUCUGUUAAUAUUUUCAACCUGAAAACUUUUUUUCAGCUUAGCAAUUUCUUCUUUAAAUAUUUGAUCAUAAACUAUUAGUAAUUAUGGAACUACUAACUUUAAACUUCUUGACUCUUAAUUUUAUAUACAUACACUUUUUCUUAUUUAUUUAUUUGUCUUAUAUCUUUCCUGAAAUCAUCCUUCUGUGCUAUCUUCAGAAUCUCUGAUUGCCUUGAAUUUUCAACUAUUAUUCAGCCCAGAUAUAUUUUACAUAUUUGAAUGCUAUAUUCUGAUUUGCAAAAAAAUCCACUUGUUUCUCUUUUAUAAUAAUUUUAUGCUUGAGAUUUAUGCUCUUUUAUAAUAAUUUUCCAUAUUCUCUAUAUGAUCUCUGAGGUUAGCUGUUGUUACUUAUUUUGUUUUGUCAUUAUUGUUGAAUUUAGAGCAUUGUUGGAUUUCUAAAAGGCCGGGCUUUCUGUUUACAUUUAUGAUUGGGCAUCCCAAUUGAUCAACUAUCAAUAUGAUCAGUAUUGAUAGACAGACUCUCCUGCCUUAGUAAAGGUAAAAAUCUCUUUAUCCUGGCAGUGAAUUGAUAUUUUUCCAGGAAAGGGAGAGUGAAACAAGGGAUUGGAAACAUUAGGCUCAGUAGGAUUUUCUUUAGGAUAUGCAGAUAACUUGUCUUCCAGCUGCCAGUAUCAUGGCCCAUGGCAAGAGUGAGGAUAGGAGGAAACUGCUUCAAGGACUCACCUGGGAAUUUCCUGGGAAUAAACUCUACUUUAGAUAGUUGUACUUAUAGUGCUUUAACCUAGAAUUAAAAAUGCAGUGUCAUUUUUUUCUGCAAAGAGGUAUACAGAGAUUCUCAUAGCCCUUUAAUGGUGUAGCUAAGCACCUGACUCCAUUCAUGGGAUGAGUCCCAAGAUUUUCUAGGAAAACUUCCUGUUUUCAAAAUUUCUCUCUUAUACUCAGUGAGUAUCAGAAAAUCCAUAGUUCUUAGAGUUUUGCCAGCAGUCUGAUCCCACUAGAUAUAUAUUUUACAGGGCACCUUACUCUUCCUUUUUAAUUAAUAGCACAAUUCCCAGAUUUCCAGUGUUGUGAUGGAUUUAUUUUAUUUCAUUUCAAUGGCAAAUGGUAAAUACAUUUCCACAAAUGUGUUUAUACUUAUUCAUUAAGGUUAUUUUAUAUUAUUUGAACAUGUAUAGUUUAUUAAAAGUCAAAAAACAUGACAACUAUAAAUAUCCUUUUAUCAGAGUUUUAAUCUAAUACUACCAGAUACUCAGAAAUUUAAACUUCGAAUCUAUGUCCUUUUCAUUUGAAAUUGGUUAGUUCAAACAAGAUGGCUUAGUCUGAAAUGAGCUUUUUUUCCAAAAGUUGACAUAAGUAGAACCUCUGAAAUUUAUGUUUCCUAUGUACAUGUGUGUUAGCGAGUUACAAAGGAAUUCCCUAUGACCUCAUAAUAAAAUUAUUUAAAUCUGUUACUUAAAAAUGUAUUUUAUUGUGACAUUGAGUUUUAGGUAAAGUCGUUUUUAAAUAAUCACAGUGCAAUAAUAACAAAGUGGUUAUUAGAGAUCUUCAUAUUAAUUCUCCUGAUUUGCAGAUGAAGAAACUCAAAACCCUCAAGGUUGAAGAAAUGAUGUUAGUCACUGGUAGAGUACCUGUAUUAAGCUAAGCUACUACUCUAUAAAUUCUACCCAAAAAUAAAAUUUCUGGGGCAACUUAGGGGAUUAAUACAAGGUCUACUUUUUCUUAAUCCAAUCCAACGUAAACUUAAAAUCAAGUUAAUCUAGUUACAAUUAUAUUUUCAAAAGUGUGAUUAUAUUUAUAUAUUUAUUUGUUCAUUUAUUUAUUUUUGUGUAUAGAGACUACUAUUCUCUAAAGUUUUAUUCUGGGAAGAUUGAGUUCAAGAAAUUUGAGUACUAAAGCCUUUCGGUUUAUUUAGCUCAUGCUAUGGAUUGAAUUGUGCCUCCCCCCCAAAUUCAUAUGUUGAAACACUAAAACCCACUACCUCAGAAUGUCACUGUAUUUGGAGAUAGGGCUUUUACAGAGGUAAAUAACUUAAAAUGAGGCUGUAAGGAUAUACUCUCAUCCAAUCAGAUUGCCAUCCUUAUAAGAAGAAGAUUCUAGAACACAUUGAGAGAUAGCGGGUGUGAACAUGUCUUGGUGUCUUGUGAGGACACCAAGAGGGCAGCGUCUUCAGGCUAAGCAGAGGCGUCCAAGGAAACCAGCCCAGCCGGUGCCUUUAUCUCCAACUGCCAGCCUCCAGAAUGGGAUGAAAAAUUUACUGAAGUAUUUUAUGUUGAUGGAUGUGUUCACGGAGAGAAGGAAAAUUUGAUACAGCAGCACAGAUAAGUAAUGUCACUGGAGACAGAAUUGGAAAGGAACAUACUGCAUCCUGCAGUGGCACACCACCAGAAUUAUUGGCAUGUACAAGAUGGAAGGCUCAAUAUAUUCAUCCUUCACUGAACGAUUCAGCACCAUGUUGCUUUAAGCAAAAGAAGUUAGUACAUAGAAAUUUAGUCUUUGGACUUAAUCACUCCCUUAGAAUUUGAUAACAGAGGGCAUUAUGUUUAAAUAUGGGAUAUGAGGCAUUUUAAUGUUGUUGUUGUUUUGAGAU
rnacentral:lncRNA from 1 species